CAACAUUCCUCCCCAGGGAAGACCAGGUCAUGUUGUCUCUUGCCAUAGAAAUCAGCACCGUUGGCAGAUUGUGACCCUCUUUUCCUGCUACGUCUAGACCCAACUUUAGAAUGCUUCUCCAUACUGUGUUCCCGGCAGCUGUCACCAAUCGAUUGGUGUUGACACAAUCCAGGGGAUAUCUACCGGCCUCUGAUAAGAUUUCACCUGUUGGAAAGAGACAUGGGCAAAUUGUAACCGAAGAAGUUCCCUAACAAUAAGUGAACUGAAAGGAUGAGAAAAUUCAAGCACAGAGGGUCAAAGUCACCUCCCGAGUGUUACACCGUGGAGGAGCCAGGAUUUCAGCCAAAUCUACCUGCCUCCAGUUCUGAACCGCCUCGCUAAGCUGCCUGUGUU